GUGGAGUUGCUAGUUUAUUUCAUUAUUUUCAUAUGUUUUAUUUUAUCUAAUUACAAUUGGAUGAUAAAUGUUUUUGUUUUCUUAACUCUUAUAUUUACUUACCUAAUUUAUUUGUUAUUAAUAUCUACCUAUACUAUAAAAUAAUCAAGUUGUUCUGUAAAAAUUCUGGAUUUGUAAUAAUCUUUUUUUGGCCAUGGAGAGGUGAGAUGCCACUAUUCCAUGCUCAUCCAUUUUGUGGCUGGAUUGAAGUGCUGGAUACCAUGUUUCAUUUGUGGCUACAAUCUUGAAAAGAAACUGUCCCCUUUGCUUGGUAAUGAAACAGAUGCUCCAUUUGCAAGCAUCCAUUUUCUGAGCUUUCUACUCCUCAGAGAGAUGCUUGGAGACCCAUUGUGUGUAAACCUUGUAUCCCAACAAUAUCUCCAUUGUGGUAUCAAUGGAGAAUAGUCUGAAUGAUUCCCUUGCUCAUGAACAAUGUUUCCACUUUGUCAUGUGGUGAUCUGGCAAUUCUCCCUUGCAAGGCUGUCCAUAGUAACAAUCAGUUCCACAAUGAUGGCUAACUGCACUUGACCAGAUCUAGAUAUGUCCUCAGUGUUUACAUAUCCUUCACAAAAUUCACAACAUCUGAACACUGUAUUGCAUAACACAUUCAUUUUCACACACUCCUUCAUAUAAUGAUAAUUUUCAGCUCUACUAACACUUUCUGCCUUUAAAAGUUGAAUUAUUGCUUACUGAGUAUAUUUGGACAAUUCCAUGUCAUGACUAUACCAAUUCAACUUGCUUUUAAACAUGAAAACAGAACACUACACCUUCAGACAACACCAUUUCCUCACAUGCAGUACCACCUAAUGGAGUAAACACAAAGCUCUGUGUAUUGAAGCAACAACAUUACUACAAAAUUAUUACUUUCAGUUGCCUAACUGAAAGCAAGACUUUUGUAGUAAUAUAAUUUUAAAUAUGUAUAUUUUAUAAAAUCUAUAAAAUUUAAAUGAUACUAGGACAAAAAUAUUAUUUUUUAACAUUUAAGUUUAUAUACUUUUCUG
rnacentral:lncRNA from 1 species